UGGGGAAUAUUGCACAAUGGGGGAAACCCUGAUGCAGCGACGCCGCGUGAAGGAUGAAGUAUUUCGGUAUGUAAACUUCUAUCAAGCAGGGAAGAAAAUGACGGUACCUGACUAAGAAGCCCCGGCUAACUACGUGCCAGCAGCCGCGGUAAUACGUAGGGGGCAAGCGUUAUCCGGAUUUACUGGGUGUAAAGGGAGCGUAGACGGCAGUGCAAGUCUGAAGUGAAAGCCCGGGGCUCAACCCCGGGACUGCUUUGGAAACUGUGCAGCUAGAGUGUCGGAGAGGCAAGCGGAAUUCCUAGUGUAGCGGUGAAAUGCGUAGAUAUUAGGAGGAACACCAGUGGCGAAGGCGGCUUGCUGGACGAUGACUGACGUUGAGGCUCGAAAGCGUGGGGAGC
rnacentral:rRNA from 1 species